rnacentral:rRNA from 1 species
UACGUAGGUGGCAAGCGUUGUCCGGAUUUACUGGGCGUAAAGAGCGCGCAGGCGGUCGUUCAAGUCGCGUGUGAAAGCCCCCGGCUCAACUGGGGAGGGUCACGCGAUACUGAUCGACUCGAAGGCAGGAGAGGGUAGUGGAAUUCCCGGUGUAGUGGUGAAAUGCGUAGAUAUCGGGAGGAACACCAGUGGCGAAAGCGCUCUGCUAGGCCGCAACUGACACUGAGGGACGAAAGCUAGGGGAGCGAAUGGG